UACGGGGGGAGCAAGCGUUGUUCGGACUUACUGGGCGUAAAGGGCGCGUAGGCGGUCAGCACAGGUCAGUUGUGAAAUCUCCGGGCUUAACUCGGAACGGUCAAGUGAUACUGUCGCGCUAGAGUGCGGAAGGGGCAAUCAGAAUUCUUGGUGUAGCGGUGAAAUGCGUAGAUAUCAAGAGGAAUACCUGAGGUGAAGACGGGUUGCUAGGCCGACACUGACGCUGAAGCGCGAAAGCCAGGGGAGCAAACGGG
rnacentral:rRNA from 1 species